rnacentral:rRNA from 1 species
UACGUAGGGUGCAAGCGUUGUCCGGAAUUAUUGGGCGUAAAGAGCUCGUAGGCGGUCUGUCGCGUCGGCUGUGAAAACUCGGGGCUCAACUCCGAGCUUGCAGUCGAUACGGGCAGGCUAGAGUUCGGCAGGGGAGACUGGAAUUCCUGGUGUAGCGGUGAAAUGCGCAGAUAAUCAGGAGGAACACCGGUGGCGAAGGCGGGUCUCUGGGCCGAUACUGACACUGGAGGAGCGAAAGCGUGGGGAGCGAACAGG